UUGUCACACAUUAGUUACAGUUCAAGUUAAGCCACAAUUUUUUUUAUUAGUUAGUGGGAGUUUUGGAGACUGUUAUCCAAAAUUAUUGUCUUAAUGUUUAAGAAAAAAAACAUUGAAUUACAACUAAGAAUAAUAUUUUUGUGCAGUAAGAAAAAAUAUUAGUGAUCCAAAAAAAUAUAAAUUGAACAAUCAGCCAGCAGCUACCAUACGCAAAAAAAUACGGUUAAUCUCUAGGACAGUGUUGUCAUUCUGGAAGUCCGCUCCUCAUAAGAAAAAAAAACAAUAAUAGUAAUGCUUUGCACAGAGGCACAAACAAGUGAGUGACUUUUAAAUUUACCACUUAAUCCACACAUUCCAUAAUUUAUUUACAUUUAUUAAUAAAAUAUUCUGUGUUUCUUUCUCAUGUUUUUCAUAGAAUUCUAAAGAAAAACUGUAGACUUGACUUUGAGGGAGGAGACAGACCUUAAAAAAGAGGAUGCUACAAGGAGUUCACGGCAAAUUUUCCAGAAGUAAUUCUUCCGUACGGCUAUACCGAUGUUGUUCUUCCAGUUGAGGAGCUUGAGUCUGGGCUGUCUGCUCAUCCACAAUGGGGGCAUGGUCUUCUGUUGAUGUUUGGUCAACGAUGACAGAUGACGAUGGUGAAAAGCAUGUUGCUUGAAUAUUUUCAACAGGACUUCCCUCUACACAAAGAACAGUUUGUUAUAACUUACGUGGAGGAGUAGUGGGCAUCUCUCCACUUCCGAAGGCUGCUACUGGUGGGAUCCGAAUCCGAGUUACUAACGCUGUUAAAUCUAGAAUAAAAUCAGCACAAGCCAAGGUACUUACCAGAACUAGGCUGAGGCGUGCUUGGGGCUGAUCGCCCUGCAGAUUUUUUUCGGUGAUCUGGAAAACAUCAAGGA